CCUACGGGAGGCAGCAGUGAGGAAUAUUGGUCAAUGGCCGUAAGGCUGAACCAGCCAAGUCGCGUGAAGGAAGAAGGAUCUAUGGUUUGUAAACUUCUUUUAUAGGGGAAUAAAGGUAUCCACGUGUGGAUAUUUGCAUGUACCCUAUGAAUAAGCAUCGGCUAACUCCGUGCCAGCAGCCGCGGUAAUACGGAGGAUGCGAGCGUUAUCCGGAUUUAUUGGGUUUAAAGGGUGCGUAGGUGGGUUUUUAAGUCAGCGGUGAAAGUUAGUGGCUCAACCAUAAAAUUGCCGUGGAAACUGGCAGACUUGAGUGGGUUUGAGGUAGGCGGAAUGCGUGGUGUAGCGGUGAAAUGCAUAGAUAUCACGCAGAACUCCGAUUGCGAAGGCAGCUUACUAAGCCAUAACUGACACUGAAGCACGAAAGCGUGGGUAUCAAACAGGAUUAGAUACCCGGGUAGUC
rnacentral:rRNA from 1 species